UUUAUGCUGAAAGUAUCUCUGGAGCAGCUUUAGUUUUUGCAAUGUGCCUGAACUUUGUAAAUACAUUGCAAUAUAAUUUCAAAUAUGGUUUUAGACCUACUUUCCCAAGCCAUCUACAGAAAAAAAAAUUUGUUGUCCUCCUGGAUAUCUUUAAAGCUUGAAUUUCUAAACACUGACAUCUCAAAUAUGGGUUUCUAUCUGAUCCUCAUCUUGGAGUGUAGAAGAGGUACUGUGGCAGGUCUGCUAUCUGAAGAGGAGUGAAUUUGUGCCAGGGGACUAGGCAUGCUGAUAGACAAACCUGCUUUAGCUGCACUAAAGGCAGCCCAGGAGACAGGAGGAGAGGCUCGUGUGUUUUCAGAGUCCAUUCCUCUUGUAAAAUCAGCAGCUGUUGGAGAACUUCAGCAUCCAUGCAACCAGAUGACUGAGAGAACGCUCCCUCUCUAGGCUGUGAGUGAAGAGGAUUGUGCUGUGUAUUGCAGUGGCAAGUGUGUCCCCUUUCAGCCCCAGGAGCUGUAUCUUCAGGUGGUGCAAUGUAGUGGUUUGUGCCAUCUGAAGAGUUGUCAGGUCACUUGUCUUUGAUGGCCAGAACACAACAGCUGCGACUUGGUGGUGGUUUCCUGCUGCUUGUGUGAGGAAUUUACUAAAGCUGGCUGCUUCACAGGAGCUAGGGACUGAAUGUAGAUCAUGGGUUAAAUUACUGAUCUGAUGAUCUAAUAAAUAAUGGUUUGUUUCUACAUUUCCAGACUGAAAAUGUUUUCAGCAAUGGAGGAACUUCACAUUCCGCUAUACAAAUAAUUUCAGUGUUUUGAUGCUGUAUAAAGCUGUCUUCUGUUCAUUAACAAAUUGAUCAGAGUUCAAAUAAUUUUCAUUAACACUGACCUAGUAGAUUUGUUAAUCAUUUGCAGUGUAUUUUCAGUGGCUGUUCAUGGUGUCCUUUUCCACCCUGUGCCUCGGAAGGGAAAGAAACAUAGAUUGAUGUUCACUGAGUUGAUUUAGAUCAAGAGUACAGCCAUAGGGGUAUAAUGUCUUUUUUAACAUAUAUAUAUAUAUGAAUAGCAUGUAGUUUUAUUAUUCAAGCAUAUUUCAAAUAUAAAAUAUUUAAAUUGUCUGACUGCAAUUGUCUGUGAUUAAAUAAAGCAUUUCUCGCUGCCCUGCUUCAGAAGUGUAGUCAGAGCCAGUAGUAUGAUACAUGUGCACAGACCACAGAAUAAGAGAUGGAAGAACUGCUUAAAGAUAAUGACAUAACCUUUCUUCAGCUCUGCAUGAAAAAUGAGUCCUGGUCCCUAAUACUGUUUUUAACAUAUAUUAAUUAAAAAAGGACAAAAAUUAUCCAUGAAUUUUUCCUAGUGAGUUAGGAAAAAUAAUUCGGAAAAAAUAAAGAAGUUUUAUUAAUUAAUACUGAUGAAGAUAAUGUUUUAGAUCUUACUGCAAUAUUUUAAUAUUAAAGAAGUAGGGAAUAGUAUGAUCUACAAAGAAUAUAAGUAAUUUUAAACAAGUUACAACCACUGUUAUUUACUUCACAAAAAUUUACUGGUAUCCAGGGUACCACAUCAUAACAAGUCACUAGUUGUUCAUGUCAGAGCUGCAUAUUGUAAAAGCCUGUUGGAAUAACAUGAUAUGCAUUUUUAUCAUAAUUAACUAUACUGUGUAAUACAUUAGUAGCAUUUUAAAGUUUUUUAUUUCAAGAUAUUUUUUUCAUAGGCUUUUCUCUUUAUGUGUUUAAAGUAGUACUUCUUGUUUCAAAUAUCUUAUUUAGCAACAAACAUUCAAUUGGUUUUAUACGCAGACCUUUUGUGGAAAAUGGUAGAAUUAUUUCAGGGUUUUCUAACACUGUUUCUGCUCUGACUUAAGUCAAUGGAGAAAAACUUAAAUGCUGAAAUGAUGCCUUCUGUGCAUAAAACACGCUGUGAAAUAUCAACCCUGUCAUGAAUGUCCCCACUAAGAAACAGAGGGAAGCAUAACAACCUGCAAGCAGAAGAAAUGGGAAUGCAAUCCAGGCUGGUGAAACCUUACACUAGACUUCUACCUCCUAAUCCACACAACCCAAGCUGAACAGUUCACCUUUAUCCUGCCAUGUGAAAUAUUUCAGGCAACGCAUUAUCUAAGUCUCUGGCUUACAAUAUUUUUAAAGAAUGAUUUAUUGUAUCUGUAAUAUUUUUUUCAGACAUGAUAAUAUUCAGGCUGUCCUUCAAGGAGGAUAUUUUCUGGCAUGGCACAGUGCAGCAGUAAACUGAGAUAGCUGGGAUAGCUGUGAGCAAUUUGCCAGCCUAACACUGCAUGUUCAAUGAUCUUAGUGGUCUUUUCAACCUUAAUGAUCAUGUAAUUCUGUGUUCCCGUCAGCCCUGAUGGAGACAAGUAUCGAUGGAUAUGAGCUUGGAUGAAGCACUGCACUGCUGAGCCUGUCUGGCUUCCCAGGAUAGCGUGGUUUGACUUGACUGGGGUAAGAUCUGUCCAAGACAGAAAGAGAAAGAUUCUACCUCAGCUGAAUCCUGCCUGGUAUAAUGCUCUGUUCUGUGCAGUGGAUGGAAAUUCAGCGGGAUCAAGAUCUACAUCCUGCUUCAGCAAAGUCCAUGUAAAAUGACAUUGCAACUGCAGCAGGGAAGUCUUCAAGGAAUCCUUGUAAAUGGUAACUUCAAAGCUGAAGGAGUGCUGCUCACUGUUGUUAUGCUUCUCAUUUUAUAGAACUGAGCUGUCAUAUGGUCUGUGACCAAUUUCACGGGAAACAG